GAUGAACGCUGGCGGCGUGCCUAAUACAUGCAAGUCGAGCGGCAACAUGCUUCUCACCGAGGUUCGAAGACAUGUAACAUAUAGCAAUUAACAUGUAACAAAGAUGUAACAAGUAUCAUGUAUCAAAUGACCCAGAUUCUGGGAUCUGUUACCUGAAACAUGAAACAUCUUUGAAACAUGACACCUGUUACGUGUCACANGAAAGUCUUCGAUCUUUAGUGAGAAGUGAUGGCGAGCGGCGGGACGGCUGAGUAACGCGUAGGAACGUACCCCAAAGUGAGGGAUAAGCACCGGAAACGGUGUCUAAUACCGCAUGUGAUC
rnacentral:rRNA from 1 species